rnacentral:lncRNA from 10 species
CACAGACAAAAAUCCAGGGAAGGGGUCAAGAUCCCAAAGGACUACCCUCACAAAAAAGGGCAAGCCCUGGGGUAGUCUGUUUGCAAAGCUGUACUUGUUUUUGCUGAAAACAAGUGUGCUUCUGUUACCUAUUUUUUUUACUUCCCAGUGGGGUGGGGAGGGUGGGGGGGUAGGGGGGGAGAAAGUCAAAACACAUGUCACCCAAUCAUUUUUCAGGAAAAGCACAGAAGGAGCAUACAACCAGCAAAACUGACAAGUACAAAAUCCAUCAGGCAUCUUGCAGGAAUGUGUGCAGUCAGCUCCCGGGAAGAACUGACGGCUCCCUGAAUUCUUGGGCUGGAUUUGGUGAGCACUAAAAGGAACCGGAUUCGUUAAACGCUGGUAGAAGUGUUUUCCAAUGGCUGCAACGGUUGGUCAACCUAACUUACUUUCCCCCCACGGCUGCAGGGACGCCGGAGGCCUUUGCUGAGUGUCUACCGCGCCUCGAGUUCUGAGCUGGACGCGUCCGGCACGUCAGGUCCCUCCCGAGCUGGAGGCUCUGGAUUCGCACCUUGCAGAAGAGCGAACCGAGGCUUCAGUCACCACCGAGGACCCAGACCCCGCCCGCCGCGGCGCCCCUACGGUCUCCCUGGGCCUGAUCUGGGUUCAGAAGGACGGAGUUCCCGCCAGGACCCACUUACGGAGCGCUGCCUGCCGCACCUGGGGACGUCCCGGCGCAGCGUCCAGAGUGCAGGCUUUGCCGCUGUGGCUUUCACUCUGCAGCGUGGGCCCGGGCGACUCGGGAAACCCGCCUGGGCUUCAGCGCCUCCGAUGUAGGAUGGGAAAAUGAUGCAGACCUACCUGCGAGGCUGCUUUAAGACAUGAAUCAGAUGUGAAGAGCGACUAGUUGAGAGCCUGACGGGCAGCACUGCGCGAGUCUUGGUCAUUUCAUCUUUUCCGCAAGUUUUUUUUUUUUUCCAGACGUUGUUUCACUCUUGUCACCCAGGCUGGAGUGCAAUGGCGCCAUCUCGGCUCACUGCAACCUCUGCCUCCCGGGUUCAAGUGAUUCUCCUGCCUCAACCUCCCGUGUAGCUGGGAUUACAGGCGCACGCCACCAAGUCCAGAUAAUUUUGUAUUUUUAGUAGAGACGGGAUUUCUACAUGUUGGUCGAGCUGGUCUCGAACUCCUGACCUCAGGUGGUCUGCCCGCCUCAGCCUCCCAAAGUGUUGGGAUUACAGGCGUGAGCCACUGCGCCCGGCCUCAGCAAGAAUUUUUAAACAUCUACUAUGGGCCAAGUCUUGUGCUAGAUGUUGCAGAUACGGAGAUGAAUAGAGACACCUCUAAUUAAUUAAAGCGGAUGCCCUCCCCACUCCUCCCAGGAUUUGACUCGGAGCACAAACUCUUCACAAACCAAAAUGUCAGGACACCAUCGCCAGUGUCCACUGGCCACUGCUGUUGGUGUGAGGCAGCCAGGAGCCCCUCAGAACUAGUAAGUCUGAGAAGAGGCUGCACGGGGCCUAGGAGAGGGAGAAAUGAGCCCGUCCAAGGUGAAUUCCUUGAUUCUCCAUUGUGAGUGCACCAAGAACAAGCACUCCCUCCGACUGACUCUCGCCUACCAGGAUCUGGAACACCUUCCAUUAAUUUAUUCGUUCAUUCAAUAAAUAUUUAUUGACUGACUACACAUAGAUAUGAAUAUGUACUUUUUGCCCCUAGUUUCUUGCUAUUUUAAAAGUGUAAAAAUGGCCAGGUGAGGCCGGGUGCGGUGGCUCAAGCCU